AACGAACGCUGGCGGCAGGCUUAACACAUGCAAGUCGAGCGCCCCGCAAGGGGAGCGGCAGACGGGUGAGUAACGCGUGGGAAUCUACCCAUCUCUACGGAAUAACGCAUGGAAACGUGUGCUAAUACCGUAUACGUCCUUCGGGAGAAAGAUUUAUCGGAGAUGGAUGAGCCCGCGUUGGAUUAGCUAGUUGGUGGGGUAAAGGCCUACCAAGGCGACGAUCCAUAGCUGGUCUGAGAGGAUGAUCAGCCACACUGGGACUGAGACACGGCCCAGACUCCUACGGGAGGCAGCAGUGGGGAAUAUUGGACAAUGGGCGCAAGCAUGAUCCAGCAAUGCCGCGGGAGUGAUGAAGGCCCUAGGGUUGUAAAGCUCUUUCACCGGUGAAGAUAAUGACGGUAACCGGAGAAGAAGCCCCGGCUAACUUCGUGCCAGCCGCCGCCGUAAGAC
rnacentral:rRNA from 1 species